rfam:Ovis aries breed Texel chromosome 7, whole genome shotgun sequence.
UCCCUGAUGGUCCAGUGGCUAAGACCCUGAACUCCCAAUGCAGGGGGCCUGGGUUCAAUCCCUGGUCAGGAAA